rnacentral:snRNA from 1 species
GGAUAUGAGGGCAAUCUGGCUGCAAAUGCAUUACCCCACUGACCAUAGCAUCGUUGUGGCUGAUCUGGCUGGUGAGAUACGUACACCCUUCUUCCCUCAUCACUUCGUGUGAAUCCUCUCAAAGCUGCACGGUUCAUCAAAGAGGAGGACUGUUCUCAGGCUGAGGGCAAGCAAAUAGCUGUCCUCCUCCAAUAGAACCUCCUCAAAGCUCUCAUGGGCCAGAAAGUGGAAGCCAUUCCUCUUUAUCAAUCAGCAAAAUGAAUAUAUAGAAUUUGGUAUAAGCCAAGAAUGGGAUAAAGUUUUCAUUUCUGC